rnacentral:rRNA from 1 species
AUUGAACGCUGGCGGCAUGCCUUACACAUGCAAGUCGAACGGCAGCAUGGGUGCUUGCACCUGAUGGCGAGUGGCGAACGGGUGAGUAAUGCAUCGGAACGUGCCCUGAAGUGGGGGAUAACGUAGCGAAAGUUACGCUAAUACCGCAUAUUCUGUGAGCAGGAAAGCAGGGGAUCGCAAGACCUUGUGCUUUAGGAGCGGCCGAUGUCGGAUUAGCUAGUUGGUGAGGUAAAGGCUCACCAAGGCGACGAUCCGUAGCGGGUCUGAGAGGAUGAUCCGCCACACUGGGACUGAGACACGGCCCAGACUCCUACGGGAGGCAGCAGUGGGGAAUUUUGGACAAUGGGCGCAAGCCUGAUCCAGCCAUGCCGCGUGAGUGAAGAAGGCCUUCGGGUUGUAAAGCUCUUUCGGUGGGGAAGAAAUGGUUUCGGUUAAUACCCGGAAUUGAUGACGGUGCCCGCAUAAGAAGCACCGGCUAACUACGUGCCAGCAGCCGCGGUAA